AUUGUAAGUAAGGGAUGAAAUUGAGUUUAGAACUGUCAAUUUUAGAAAUUACAAUCAAAGUAGUUGCCACAAAGACUGAGACAAACACGUUGAACUGACAGCAAAUCUAAGUUAUGGUAGUCAUUUUAGAUAAGCCAAAUGACGUCAAAAUCGUCAUCAGGAAAAGUUAACUCUUUUCUGGAUAGGAACGUUUAGUUAGGCAAGACUGCCCUCUAUGGAUCAAAUACCUAAAUUGCGAUCCAUAGAUUGGACACACCUACGGUUUCCUAUUGGCUUUAUCAACUAAUGACGUACAGAGAGUCUGGCCCUUUAAAAGUUAGGACAAAGGAAGAGAGAGGUUAGUUGGUAGAGAGAGGGAGUUGGAGUUUGGGCAUUCAGAUUCGGACAUGGAGAAAGAGACUCAAGAAACACUCUCUGGGACUAACACUCUACUCUUAAACUCUCUUGGACACAACUCCUUGACACUUAGAAUUUUACUCUGACUUUCUAACCAACACCACUUUUCUCUAUCACUCACGCACCUCCAUACAACCAAUCAACUUCCUGGGACUACCUACUCAUCUGAUGAGAAUAUCUACAUAACUG